rnacentral:rRNA from 1 species
GGCGGACGGGUGAGUAACACGUGGGUAACCUGCCUGUAAGACUGGGAUAACUCCGGGAAACCGGAGCUAAUACCGGAUAGUUCCUUGAACCGCAUGGUUCAAGGAUGAAAGACGGUUUCGGCUGUCACUUACAGAUGGACCCGCGGCGCAUUAGCUAGUUGGUGGGGUAAUGGCUCACCAAGGCGACGAUGCGUAGCCGACCUGAGAGGGUGAUCGGCCACACUGGGACUGAGA